AACAGAUCAGCUACUUUUUUCCUCCUCUUCCUUGCCUCAUCCAUGACCUGGAACUGACCUCAUCCAUGACCUGGAAUUGACCUGCCUAUCAUUGAAAUAAUUGAAAUUGAAUUAUUUCCACUAUAAUUUCAUUGAAAUAAUAAGCAGCAGGCUGUAAAUCCGGGUUGAACUUGAGAGCUGGCUAGGAAGGUACCAGGCCCUUCUCUUGCUUGGGGUUUUCCUGCAGAUGAAGCAGCAACUUUGACUUCUCAAGGGACUCCAGCAGACGUGAGCCUGUAAUUGUGAAAGAUGGCAAGAAAUUUCUGCAUCCUGGCAAGGGAGAGGAUGGCCGGAAUGAGAAGCCACAGUGGGAUGAAUUUGGAGGAUAAUCCAAGCAGUGUCAGUGAGAAGAGGGAGGCUCCAGCCUUGUUGCAGGUCAACUGCCAGGUGAGCCAAAAACUCAAAAACCAAACCAAACCAAAACAAAGCUACAAAGCAAAAAAUGCUCUCUCUCUUUGCCUAUAGAAUGAAUACUUAGAAGAGAGAGGAGAAGGAGAAUUAAAAGGAAAGGGAUGGAAGGAAGAAGAGUUAUUGGAUCUAAGGGACUGAAAUAUAUCAACGAAUUGUGCAAAAUCCAUUCUAGGUGUUCAAUGUCAGUUACUCAUCUGUUGCAUGUGGUUUCAAUUUCCUUUUAAAUCCAUAUGUAUUUGAAAUGAAGCCAGACCAGGGUAGGAUGAAGGGGAGCCUGCAUCUCACUGCUUCCCUCAAAACAAAGUUUUGGAUGUUUUUGGUCAUUCCCUCUGGGUUCUCAGUGCCUGGUGGAUUCCAUCGACAAUGGAUGUUAAAUCCAUCCUCUGGGGAAAGGAAGUGCUUGCAGAUAUUGAACGUGGACCUCAGAGUCUCUAAUGUGAUGAGAGAUUGCAACCAACUGGCUUCUGCCUUUUAAGAGGCCCUGAAUCCAGGCCGUCUGGAAAUUAAAUAGGGAGCCCAGCUCACUGCUACAGCUUGUCAGUGUGAUUGCCACCCACGAUUGGCUCUGAGCAUCUCUUCUAAAACAUGCCAGCAACUGUGUCUUUAUUUUGUUGAUGCAAGUCCAGAUGCUGGUUUGAAGGAGGUAAGCUUUGUUUCUGAGCCCCUAUAGCGCAC
rnacentral:lncRNA from 1 species